GAUGAACGCUGGCGGCGUGCCUAAUACAUGCAAGUCGAGCGAACAGACGAGGAGCUUGCUCCUCUGACGUUAGCGGCGGACGGGUGAGUAACACGUGGAUAACCUACCUAUAAGACUGGGAUAACUUCGGGAAACCGGAGCUAAUACCGGAUAAUAUAUUGAACCGCAUGGUUCAAUAGUGAAAGACGGUUUUGCUGUCACUUAUAGAUGGAUCCGCGCCGCAUUAGCUAGUUGGUAAGGUAACGGCUUACCAAGGCAACGAUGCGUAGCCGACCUGAGAGGGUGAUCGGCCACACUGGAACUGAGACACGGUCCAGACUCCUACGGGAGGCAGCAGUAGGGAAUCUUCCGCAAUGGGCGAAAGCCUGACGGAGCAACGCCGCGUGAAUGAUGAAGGUCUUCGGAUCGUAAAACUCUGUUAUUAGGGAAGAAGAAAUGUGUAAGUAACUAUGCACGUCUUGACGGUACCUAAUCAGAAAGCCACGGCUAACUACGUG
rnacentral:rRNA from 1 species